UUAUUGUAUAGUUUUAUCUUAUAGUUUUUAACUUAUAUUUGAUCUAGAUUUUAGGCUCUACUGUUAGUGUUAUCUGUAUGCACCGGGGGUCUGAGAGUAACGCAAUUUCGAUUCUCUGUAUGUAUGUACUGUACAUGUGGAAGAAUUGACAAUAAAGCAGACUUGACUUUGAUUUGACUUGACUUGACUUAACUGCUAUAGCAAAAUAAUCAAAAGAAUUACAAAGCGCAGUAAACGGUAAAACUGUUUGCUCUACAAAGCAGUGUGUUCAUAAUUAAGAUAACACAUUCAAAUAAUAUGGUAAGACACACCAAUUUUUAAUAUCAAACAAGCUGUUUUGUACAGCUAAAAAUAGCUGGAAGGAAAUGAGGUCGGAAGCAAGACCCAUAACAUUUACAAAUGGAUAGGAAGUCCAGAAUAAUCAAAUAUCUCAAUUAAUUUUAACCAAUAUUUGUGAUUAGUUACUAAUUAGAAACACAUUCUAAAUUUAAUGAUCACUUGAAAAUUAGAGUCAGAUUUAAAAUAGAGCUACAAUAAAAUUUAAACUCGAUCCAAAUUAAGUGAACUUUAAAGAAGCGCAAGUAAAAUAUAUGUCAUAUUUAUACUAUAAUGUUACUCUUAUUUUAACAUCAUCUAUAAAGUAUCAUAAACUAGUUCAGCAUCACAAUCAGGAAUCAUGUGAGUAGAGUACAUUUAAAUUAAUGGUUUAGCUGCUGGCAAGUUAAAAUCUCUAUAGCACUGAUCCUGGUGUAUAGAAAAAGUAGUGCUCAUACAAACACACACACAAACACACUCUCACCCUAAAACUUAAACACAGUCUCAGAGAUCAUUCAUGUUCUUCACUCUCUGCAGGCUAUGUAACUGCAGUAUUGGAGAGGAAGGCUGUGCUGCUCUGAUUUCAGCUCUGAGAUCAAACCCCUCACACCUGACAGAACUGGAUCUGAGAGGUAAUAAACCAGGAGACUCAGGAGUGAAGCUGCGCUCUGCUCUACUAAAGGAUCCACGCUGUAAACUGAAGAAACUACUAAUUUGACAGUGGAAACUCCACAAGCUCCAAACAACUGAAUCAAAACAACACGUACUGAACAAGACUGUCACCUGGACAAAUGCUGACAUUGUAGUGAAUUUAUUUUCAUCACCUUAGGGAGGUGAAAUAGUGCAGUGAUGGGUACAUGUCACUGUUCACGUUAUGAUUUUUGGAUCACGUGUCUCUUGAGGUGUGGUUAUGAGUACAUCACAUAAGAAAGAU
ensembl:lncRNA